AUAUCUCUCCGUACGGGAAGGAUGAGAAGCUUCGACUAAGGUUCGAUUCGAGCGAAAGCGAGAGAACGUUGCCAACGGCAACGGCCCGAAGGGCGAAGCGCGCAGCGCUGAGUCAUCCUUCCCCCACCACCA
rnacentral:sRNA from 7 species